UAGGCCUGGCUGCCUGUGUCCAAGGUGAAUUUUGGAUAGCCUACAGUAAAAUGGGUAGCCAAAGUUGGCUAGAGUCUGUUGUUUACCCUCUCUGGAAACAUUUUUAUCACUGACCCGUGAAUGAAACUUAGAGUCUAUUCCAUCUUAACUGCCUCAACCAGCUCCAUAGAAAAGAGCUGUCAAGGACACUGAGCCCCAUAGACGAGGGAAGCUGAGCAGUGCUGAGCUGACCAG